CAAAUUCUUGAUUAUGUCGUC
rnacentral:siRNA from 1 species